AAGUCGUAACAAGGUUUCCGUAGGUGAACCUGCGGAAGGAUCAUUACAGAGUUCAUGCCCUCACGGGUAGACCUCCCACCCUUGUGUAUUUAUACCGUGUUGCUUUGGCAGGCUGCUGCACCCCUCGGGGGACAGCCCCAGCGCCUUCGGGCCUGGGAGUCGCCUGCCGGAGGAAAAACAAACUCUGAAUUGUUAGUGUCGUCUGAGUACUAUAUUUUAAUAGUUAAAA
rnacentral:misc_RNA from 1 species